CCCCAUAGUGGGGGACAACUUAGGGAAACUUAAGCUAAUACCGCAUACGCCCCAAGGGGGAAAGCGGGGGACCUUCGGGCCUCGCGCUAUGGGAUGGGCCUGCGUUGGAUUAGCUAGUUGGCGGGGUAAGGGCCCACCAAGGCGACGAUCCAUAGCUGGUCUGAGAGGACGAUCAGCCACACUGGGACUGAGACACGGCCCAGACUCCUACGGGAGGCAGCAGUGGGGAAUAUUGGACAAUGGGCGCAAGCCUGAUCCAGCAAUACCGCGUGUGUGAAGAAGGCCUGAGGGUUGUAAAGCACUUUCAAUUGGGAGGAAAAAGGCAGGCCCAAUACGCCUGCCCUUGACAUUACCUUUAGAAGAAGCACCGGCUAACUCCGUGCCAGCAGCCGCGGUAAUACGGAGGGUGCGAGCGUUAAUCGGAAUUACUGGGCGUAAAGCGUGCGUAGGCGGCCCGCCAAGCCAGAUGUGAAAGCCCUGGGCUCAACCUGGGAACGGCAUUUGGAACGGGCGGGCUAGAGUUGGGUAGAGGGGGGCGGAAUUCCGGGUGUAGCGGUGAAAUGCGUAGAUAUCCGGAGGAACACCAGUGGCGAAGGCGGCUCCCUGGACCCAAACUGACGCUGAGGUACGAAAGCGUGGGUAGCAAACAGGAUUAGAUACCCUGGUAGUC
rnacentral:rRNA from 1 species